AUGCACACGGGUGUUGUUAAUGCAACACUAUACAGACAGGAUGGAAGGAUAUUGUGUACAUCAACACCGAGAUAUGGAAUAGGAAAUGAGAGAGGUUAUGCUGUUGGAAUGUCUGUAUGUUAUCCUAAAUCAGGUUCGAUCAAAAUUAAAGAUGGUGAAAAUGUAACAGUAGAAUUAAGAUAUAAAAAUGAGUUUAUCAUCGCAGCUAUGGGUCAUAUGUAUGUAUGUGUAAUUAGCUGA